UACGUAGGGGGCAAGCGUUGUCCGGAUUUAUUGGGCGUAAAGAGCGUGUAGGCGGCUAGAUAGGUCCGUUGUGAAAACUCGAGGCUCAACCUCGAGACGUCGAUGGAAACCAUCUGGCUAGAGUCCGGAAGAGGAGAGUGGAAUUCCUGGUGUAGCGGUGAAAUGCGCAGAUAUCUGGAGGAACACCGGUGGCGAAGGCGGCAUCCUGGACCGAGAUUGACGCUGAUGCGCGAAAGCCAGGGGAGCAAACGGG
rnacentral:rRNA from 1 species